AGGAUUAACGCUGGCGGCGUGCCUAACACAUGCAAGUCGAACGAGGUAGCAAUACCUAGUGGCAGACGGGUGAGUAGCGCGUGGUCAACCUACCGUUGAGUGGGGGAUAACUAGCCGAAAGGUUAGCUAAUACCGCAUACGUCUCCGAGGGGCAUCCCUUGGCGAUAAAAGGAGCAAUCCGCUCGAUGACGGGACCGCGUCCCAUUAGCUAGUUGGUGGGGUAACGGCCUACCAAGGCAUCGAUGGGUAGCUGGUUUGAGAGAGCGACCAGCCACACUGGGACUGAGAUACGGCCCAGACUCCUACGGGAGGCAGCAGUGAGGAAUUUUCCGCAAUGGGCGAAAGCCUGACGGAGCGACGCCGCGUGUGGGAAGAAGGCCUUCGGGUCGUAAACCACUGUCGAAGGGAAGAUAAUGACGGUACCCUUGGAGGAAGCCCCGGGCUAACUACGCGCCAGCAGCCGC
rnacentral:rRNA from 1 species